rnacentral:rRNA from 1 species
CCUACGGGAGGCAGCAGUAGGGAAUCUUCCACAAUGGGCGAAAGCCUGAUGGAGCAACGCAGCGUGGGUGAAGAAGGUCUUCGGAUCGUAAAACCCUGUUGUUAGAGAAGAAAGUGCGUGAGAGUAACUGUUCACGUUUCGACGGUAUCUAACCAGAAAGCCAAGGCUCACUACGUGCCAGCAGCCGCGGUAAUACGUAGGUGGCAAGCGUUAUCCGUAUUUAUUGGGCGUAAAGGGAACGCAGGCGGUCUGUUAAGUCUGAUGUGAAAGCCUUCGGCUUAACCGGAGUAGUGCAUUGGAAACUGGGAGACGUGAGUGCAGAAGAGGAGAGUGGAACUCGAUGUGUAGCGGUGAAAUGCGUAGAUAUAUGGAAGAACACCAGUGGCGAAGGCGGCUCUCUGGUCUGUAACUGACGCUGAGGUUCGAAGGCGUGGGUAGCAAACAGGAUUAGAUACCCUAGUAGUC